AAACCAGCACCUCAAGUGGUCAGGAUGAUUAUUGGGCCUAAAGCAUCCGUAGCCUGCUCUGUAAGUUUUCGGUUAAAUCUGUACGCUCAACGUACAGGCUGUCGGGAAUACUGCAGAGCUAGGGAGUGGGAGAGGUAGACGGUACUCGGGAGGAAGUGGUAAAAUGCUUUGAUCUCUCGAUGACCACCUGUGGCGAAGGCGGUCUACCAGAACACGUCCGACGGUGAGGGAUGAAAGCUGGGGGAGCAAACCGGAUUAGAAACCCCGGUAGUCC
rnacentral:rRNA from 1 species